GUUUGCGCCAACCUGGAGCCCGGAGGAGCCUCAGAGGGCCGGGUCUGGGCCGGGCCAGGGCCGGGCCGGGUCUGGGCCGGGCCAGGGCCGGGCCAGGGCCGAGUGUGGGCCAGGAGCCGGGCCAGGAAGGGAGGGAGGUGGCACCAGUGGGGGCCGGGCCCAGGCCCAGUCGGGAGCCGAAGCUCAGUUCAAGCUCCUCCCGACAAUCUGUCCCGGACUUAGGAGGAACGAGUUGGAGUCGGGUCCAGCCGCCAGUUUGGGAUUGGGCUGCCCCGCCCCCGAUAUCUCGGCUGGGCUGGUCCCUCAGGCCUCGGCCGCGGCUUUUCAGGUGCUGGAGACUCAGCGGAGCUGCAAGCGGACGGAUGUCUUCCCAGCACCCACCGCCCCCUUCCGCCCACCUCAGGCAUGCAGACAUGGGAGUCCCACUGUAUGUCGCAGACUGAGGCCCCAGCCCCACUGAGGGUAAGGGAGAGUUUGUUCCCCAGGAAGCGCGCCGGGUCAGGGAGAAGGAAAGGUGGGGGAUCUGUCUUUCUGGUGGCCGGGCACUCAGCAGGGGUGCGCAGGGGUGCCCAGCCUCAGCCCUCAGGGCCCGCUCGGCGAUACCGGGAAGCUCUGCCUCCCCUAAGGGUCUACGCGUCUAAUGCACUAAACGUGAAGUCGUGGUGUCGUUACCAAGCUACUCGGCUUCCACGAGCGGGCGGGCGAGUGGCAAGACCUUUCUACCCUGCAUCUCAUUAACCCUCCUGAUAAGUGAAAGACUGCAUAGCCAGAGGUGAUGCAGCUCCGGGGCUGCGUGGCUGCGCUAGAUGCCUGUAAAUACAGUCAUUAAGCACCUGAGGGCUGGCGGAGCUGGGUGGAAGGAUAUAGACGUCCUGAGGGGCUUGCGCUGCCAUAUGAGAGGAAUCAGCCAAAUUCAAAAAUCACAGGGCCACGCCACUCAGCAGGGAAGGCAUUGCCCGAACAGAGCACGUCCCUUAUUGCCCUAAGGUUUAUUAUUACCUGCUUUUUUGCACGAAAACUGAGGCUCAACGAGGUCAAGGCAUUUAUUAGCCUAAGAUCAUGGGCCAAGUCAAGGACAAGCUAGAAUUCAAGGCAGGUCUCCAUAUAACGAGAAGCUUCAUGCUCCCUGUGUUUCACCAAAAGAGUCUAGGAUUUGAGGCUCCCUGGGAGGAGACAGAGGAGGGAAGGCAGGAUCUGACUGCACUAUCACAGUGGGCUUCUGGAAGAGGUGGUGUUCAAGAUGGGCCUGGAAUUUUUUUUUUCUUUUUGAGACAGUCUCGCUCUGUAGCCCAGGCUGGAGUACAGUGGCGCCAUCUCGGCUCACUGCAACCUCCGAUCCCUGGUUCAAGCGAUUCUUCUGCCUCAGCCUCCCGAGUAGCUGGGAUUACAGUCGUGCGCCACCACACCCG
rnacentral:lncRNA from 1 species